CUCACAUCUCCCUUGCGACACCUCCUCUCUCGAACUCGGAUCCCCUCUCCCCUGUGAUGCCUCCCUCCGAUUCCAUUCCCCUCUGAAGGUGCGUACCAGCUUUUCCAUCGGAUCUGGUCAUGCUACUCUUGAUCUGUUAGCUUUCAAUCCCCCCAGGUUCAGCAGGCAGUCAAGUCGUCCGACAAUCAGUGGCAUCUUCCUCACCGAUUGCGCUACCAUGGCUUCGGAUGUUUGGACUCUCCAUCUUCAAUGCGAGGGGGCAGCUCCAGGACAUGAACAUGUGCAAAGGGAAAUGGACAAGGAUAUGAUAUGUUUCUUCAACUUGAUGGAGUUUGUCGAAGAAUAUGGGUGCACAUCUAUUGAUUAUUUGUAUUAUAAGAGAAGAGAUAGUUUGGUUGCUAUAGAAAUGGAUACCGAUGUCAUGGAAAUGCUUAAAGACAAUGAGACCACAAAGGAAGUUAGCUUGUUUGUGACAAUGCAGAGAAUGGCCUUUAUGGCAUCUAAGUCGAAGAAAGCAUCAACCAAGUCUGCACCAAAUAAAACUAAAAGGAGAAAAAGUGGUGCAAAGAGCAAGGAGUGUCUGCAUGUUAUUCAAACUAAAUCAAAAUAUGCCAAUGAUAUUGACCAACAGCAUGAUGAUGACAUCCAAGAACCAUCAGGUAUAGAUGUAGUUGCAAUAUAUUGUAAUGCAAAAAAAGUGGACUGCAUUACUACUCUCUGUUUAUUUUGCGAAAGGGGACUAUUUUUGUUAGACAUAUAGAGUUGUAUUUGUGCUUGUAUUGUGUUUCUUGUAACUCAAGCCUAUACAGCCUAUAUAAUGAAA